rnacentral:lncRNA from 1 species
CUGGAAACCCUCUGUGUUGUCAGUCCCAGCUGUUCAGAAGGUGCCCUGGUGUUGUAACCGGCCUGGUCGUCUGACGCCUGCACCCAGAGAUAGCAGUUAGAUCUUGCCCAGCCAGAGUUGGUCUGUGACGUGCCUGCAGAGUCUUCGUGUCAAAAAUGUACAUUCUCCUCCUGCAUCUCUGUGACCGUAUGAAGGAGAGAGCAGAUUGCAACUCUUUUAACACAUUUCUCAGAGUUCUGAAGAAUAGCAUUCUUUGAACACCACUUUGCAAGAUGUUGCUAAAAGAAGAAAUCAAGAAUUACAAUGUCAUCAUAAUCACUAUCUUCAACAAGUCUUCUAGAUACAUAAGAGAUGAACUCUGCUGGCAUAGAGUUCUCUUCUACUGAUUUUCAAAGGUGAAAAACUGUGUUCCCUCUUCUGAAGGAAGGAAGAGCAGAGGAGAAGCAUCUAGAUAUAUUUAUUUUCAGAUCAACUGAAGUGAGAGCUGCUGAUCCACUUGCACUAAUUAAAAUCAAUAGCCCAAACAAUGAACUACCGGGAUCAUCUGGAAACGGGAGACACUUGCCAAAUGUAAUAUUGUAUUGACAUGCAGGGAGAAGCCUACGUUUAUCCUAAACAAAUAGAGGGAAGAAAACAGCCUUGAAUUUAGUAAAACCUGGCAAACUUUUUUUCCAUAAAAUUGAUUCUACAUCUUUACUUUUGACUGGAAGUAGAAAUAAUCAAUCUAAUUUUUAUUCUAAUUAGCUCUCCUUAAUUUUAUUUUAUUCUAAUUAGUUCUAACUAGGUUGAAACAAAGGAUAAAUAAACAUCUUUUUUUAUCUCAAGGCAU